GUGGGGAAUAUUGGACAAUGGGGGGAACCCUGAUCCAGCCAUGCCGCGUGUGUGAAGAAGGCCUUUUGGUUGUAAAGCACUUUAAGCGAGGAGGAGGCUACCGAGAUUAAUACUCUUGGAUAGUGGACGUUACUCGCAGAAUAAGCACCGGCUAACUCUGUGCCAGCAGCCGCGGUAAUACAGAGGGUGCAAGCGUUAAUCGGAUUUACUGGGCGUAAAGCGCGAGUAGGUGGCCAAUUAAGUCAAAUGUGAAAUCCCCGAGCUUAACUUGGGAAUUGCAUUCGAUACUGGUUGGCUAGAGUAUGGGAGAGGAUGGUAGAAUUCCAGGUGUAGCGGUGAAAUGCGUCGAGAUCUGGAGGAAUACCGAUGGCGAAGGCAGCCAUCUGGCCUAAUACUGACACUGAGGUGCGAAAGCAUGGGGAGCAAACAGGAUUAGAUACCCGGGUAGUCC
rnacentral:rRNA from 1 species